ACACAUGCAGUCGAGCGGCAGCGACAACAUUGAACCUUCGGGGGAUUUGUUGGGCGGCGAGCGGCGGACGGGUGAGUAAUGCCUGGGAAAUUGCCCUGAUGUGGGGGAUAACCAUUGGAAACGAUGGCUAAUACCGCAUGAUAGCUUCGGCUCAAAGAGGGGGACCUUCGGGCCUCUCGCGUCAGGAUAUGCCCAGGUGGGAUUAGCUAGUUGGUGAGGUAAGGGCUCACCAAGGCGACGAUCCCUAGCUGGUCUGAGAGGAUGAUCAGCCACACUGGAACUGAGACACGGUCCAGACUCCUACGGGAGGCAGCAGUGGGGAAUAUUGCACAAUGGGCGCAAGCCUGAUGCAGCCAUGCCGCGUGUAUGAAGAAGGCCUUCGGGUUGUAAAGUACUUUCAGCAGUGAGGAAGAAGGUAUCGUUAAUAGCGGUAUCUUUUGACGUUAGCUGCAGAAGAAGCACCGGCUAACUCCGUGCCAGCAGCCGCGGUAAUACGGAGGGUGCGAGCGUUAAUCGGAAUUACUGGGCGUAAAGCGCAUGCAGGUGGUUUGUUAAGUCAGAUGUGAAAGCCCGGGGCUCAACCUCGGAAUUGCAUUUGAAACUGGCAGGCUAGAGUACUGUAGAGGGGGGUAGAAUUUCAUGUGUAGCGGUGAAAUGCGUAGAGAUCUGAAAGGAAUACCGGUGGCGAAUGCGGCCCCCUGGACAGAUACUGACACUCAGAUGCGAAAGCGUGGGGAGCAAACAGGAUUA
rnacentral:rRNA from 1 species